AUGACCUCACUUGUGGGGGGAUUAGUGGCGAACGGGUGAGUAACACGUGAGUAACCUGCCCUUAACUCUGGGAUAAGCCUGGGAAACUGGGUCUAAUACCGGAUAUGACUCCUCAUCGCAUGGUGGGGGGUGGAAAGCUUUAUUGUGGUUUUGGAUGGACUCGCGGCCUAUCAGCUUGUUGGUGAGGUAAUGGCUCACCAAGGCGACGACGGGUAGCCGGCCUGAGAGGGUGACCGGCCACACUGGGACUGAGACACGGCCCAGACUCCUACGGGAGGCAGCAGUGGGGAAUAUUGCACAAUGGGCGAAAGCCUGAUGCAGCGACGCCGCGUGAGGGAUGACGGCCUUCGGGUUGUAAACCUCUUUCAGUAGGGAAGAAGCGAAAGUGACGGUACCUGCAGAAGAAGCGCCGGCUAACUACGUGCCAGCAGCCGCGGUAAUACGUAGGGCGCAAGCGUUAUCCGGAAUUAUUGGGCGUAAAGAGCUCGUAGGCGGUUUGUCGCGUCUGCCGUGAAAGUCCGGGGCUCAACUCCGGAUCUGCGGUGGGUACGGGCAGACUAGAGUGAUGUAGGGGAGACUGGAAUUCCUGGUGUAGCGGUGAAAUGCGCAGAUAUCAGGAGGAACACCGAUGGCGAAGGCAGGUCUCUGGGCAUUAACUGACGCUGAGGAGCGAAAGCAUGGGGAGCGAACAGGAUUAGAUACCCUGGUAGUCCAUGCCGUAAACGUUGGGCACUAGGUGUGGGGGACAUUCCACGUUUUCCGCGCCGUAGCUAACGCAUUAAGUGCCCCGCCUGGGGAGUACGGCCGCAAGGCUAAAACUCAAAGGAAUUGACGGGGGCCCGCACAAGCGGCGGAGCAUGCGGAUUAAUUCGAUGCAACGCGAAGAACCUUACCAAGGCUUGACAUGAACCGGAAAUACCUGGAAACAGGUGCCCCGCUUGCGGUCGGUUUACAGGUGGUGCAUGGUUGUCGUCAGCUCGUGUCGUGAGAUGUUGGGUUAAGUCCCGCAACGAGCGCAACCCUCGUUCUAUGUUGCCAGCGCGUUAUGGCGGGGACUCAUAGGAGACUGCCGGGGUCAACUCGGAGGAAGGUGGGGACGACGUCAAAUCAUCAUGCCCCUUAUGUCUUGGGCUUCACGCAUGCUACAAUGGCCGGUACAAAGGGUUGCGAUACUGUGAGGUGGAGCUAAUCCCAAAAAGCCGGUCUCAGUUCGGAUUGGGGUCUGCAACUCGACCCCAUGAAGUCGGAGUCGCUAGUAAUCGCAGAUCAGCAACGCUGCGGUGAAUACGUUCCCGGGCCUUGUACACACCGCCCGUCAAGUCACGAAAGUUGGUAACACCCGAAGCCGGUGGCCUAACCCC
rnacentral:rRNA from 1 species